CUUCAGCCACCUCUCCUCUGUCUUUUACAGCUAAGGUUGUGGAGCCCAUCAAUCUCCAUGGUCACAGAGAGCCAUGGAAGACUAGGAACCAUGCUGGUGUACUCUUGAGCAGCUUCUCGUUCCCAGGACAGGCAUUGUUUAAUUUUCACAAGGUCCACUUGAAGGUGAUGGUCACUUGCAGAUUGUGGACUGGUGUUUGCUAGGAGCUCAGCAAAGAGCACCAUCAUUGAUUGUCUUGGCAUCCAAAGACUUCUUCAACUUUAAAGCUACAGAGCUCUCUUCUUCUUCUGGAAAGCCAUGCUUCCAGCCAAGAAACAUGUGAAGAGGAACUAGAAGCCACUUUUCACUUACAGCAUGUAAAGGCUGGAGAAGAUGGAGACCCGGAGGCGAGGUGGUUCAGCUGGCCUCCUUGCCUUGGCUCUGGUUUGGUUGGAAGUCAAACCGGGUGAAAUUCAGUAUAAGGAUUUAGCAGAAGGCCACAUCCUCUUGACUGAUUGCACUCCCCACUACCUUCCUACACGGAUUCAGUUAAUGAUUGGCCAUAAUGACUCUUAGAAAGUGACGUCACCUUCAAAGAACAUUCUGUAUAGCAUGAUGACUUUUAUUCCAAAACUUAUGCAACAGAACAGGAUGAAAUUGUUACUUCUGCAUGAUUGUCUCAGACAAAGACACAUUUAGCACAACUUCUGAUCAGAGGAUCACACGGGACAAACCUGAAUUAUGCAGCACAUCAGCAAAUGUUCUGCUCUGCCUGAGUGCACCAUGGACGCAUAGCAUGAGCUGAGCUAUUCAGACCUGUUACUUGGAUGCAUUAUUUCAACACACUUUGAAGUACACUUUUUUCCUAAUAUAAUUAUUUCAGCUUCAGGACAAUGUGACCACAAACCCCCAAACUGGAAAUGAUAUUGAUGUUAAAAAAAUAUGGAUCUUCCACAAAAGUGGUUCUUCCUCUACAACAGGGAUCAGGCUCCUCCCCACUCUUUCUCAGUGUGUGUGUGUGUGUGUGUGUGUGUGUGUGUGUUGUAUGCUUAUAACUGUAGAUUUGUGCUGCUCCUAACCUUGGCAGAGAAGGUUUCUAUUGCAGUGGGUAGUAGUUAUUACAGAAACUCAUUACUGUUCAAAGUUCUGAGAAUCAGUGACUGUGUGCUCAGCCAUGGAUGUGAUAUCAUAUCAUAUCAUAUCAUUAUCAACCUUGUGCUCUCCAAGUCUCAGAGAACAUGGUAGAAUAAAAAUGAUAAGACUGUAAGAACCAGAGGGUGAGAAGAAGUCCUAUAAAUGAUGUCUCCCGGACACAACAUAACGCUCACAUAGAAACUCAUAGCCGCUGUGGUUACCUGCACAAAAUCAAACAAGAUCAAGCAAUUCAAAAGUUCCAUCAUGGGUAUGGGAGAGGCUUCUGGUGUCCUAUCCCCAGUUGGGGAGCUAUUAACAGUUGAUCACUUCUAGGGGAGGGAAACUCAUUUUUCUUUGUGAGUAUAGCCAUGGUAGCUUCUAUGUCCUCCAGUGGAUGACCCUAUGACCAUGAACAUAUGGACAGCAAUAAUUGUACUCAGUGGGCUUAAAAAAAUAAUAAUAAUAAAAACAUGAUGUUAAGAGGAAGAUGUGAUAGUGGGUUCCAGAAGGGAGUGUGAAGUGGGGGUGCAUAUGGAGGGAUGGAUAUGAUCAAGACUCCUGUACAUGUAUGAAGCUUUAAAA